GAGAACGAAACACCUUUAGUAAGGGUGUGAAAACUUUUCUCUAGUAGACACGUUUUAAAGUCUUGAAGGGAAGCCCGAAAGGGAAAGCCGCUAGCGGUGGGCCUGGGCCGUUACACUUUCUCUCCAAGUUGGUGUACCCUUUCCCAAAACAGCAUGGAGGCGUGUCUACCCGUACGUGCUUUUUCCAAAAACAGAACAAAUUUGAGCUUUACUCAUUACCAGAAAUGCAAACUUUUAGAUGUUUUAGAAAUAUCAGCCACAAAAUCUUAUGUGGUAUAAACACUGUAGAGAUCUAACUGUAUUUGCAACGGUGGGAAAUGAGUAGAAAAGCCCGUGAAGAUUUAAUAUGAACGGCUGACUUUUGCACAUUGGCAAAGAGGCAGAUAUCAUAGAGAGUUGACCACAUAUGAUCCUUUCAUAUCUCCCCCUUUAGUGCCUCUUAUUGCUUCUACUUUUUCUCUCUCUCAUCCUUUCCCACAAGAUUUUAUUAUGUCAUUCAAACAAAGUAAUGGUCCAUAGCUCUCUCCCACACACAUUUAUUAUGAAACUUCAAUUCUUGAAAUUUUUGACCUGGCUAUUGAAUAGAAUAGUUUACAAAGUUGGUUUAGAAAGGGCUAAUGCACGCUGCCUUCGUUUCUAUUGUGCAAGUCAUUGUAGUUUUACGAGAAAUAUCUACAAGAACUAGUCUAAAAUCGAGUUAUUUUUAAUUAGGAUAUGGAAGAACACUGAGUCAACUAGAUUUGGUGGUUUGAAUUAAACUGUUUCUGGGUGAUGGUGAUUUAGAUUGUAAGGUUUUGUUGAUGUCACAGAGCUUACCGAAUCAAGACAUUACUUAUCUUCUUAAAGACAGGAUGUUUGGAUUUCAUUUACCUCUAAUGAAUUCGUAAGUGAUGGCUAUGUUCUUGACCUCCUCCACUACAUCCUCAAGAAGAGAAAUCAUUAUUAGGGAAAUCCAAAUCAUUUUUAGAGGACCUACCCACGUAAGAAUCAUUGAGACACCACUAUGGUUUGCAACUUUUGGAUGCCUAUAAGUGAGGCAUGCUUAUUUGUAAUCAUUAUCAUUGUGCUUUCUUAGUUUUUUUCCUACAUUUGAUGCAACUUGUUAUGCUAGGAUUCCCUUUCCAACCCAACUCCCCACCACAAAAGGAAACACGUAGCUUAGUUUUAAAGAGACGAGAGGUAGAAAUUUGAAUCUUCAACCGUUUGAGGAGUAUGAAUAAUUUAUUUUCGUCAUUCAAGUUUUGGUUUG